UCCGAUGUGGUGUAGUGGCUAACAUUGCUGUCUUUCAUUUGCAUCCAAUUGAAUCCACAGCAGCCCGGGGUUCGAUUCCCCGCAUCGGAA